GACGAACGCUGGCGGCGUGCUUAACACAUGCAAGUCGAACGGAAAGGCCUCUUUCGGGGGGUACUCGAGUGGCGAACGGGGUGAGUAACACGUGAGUAACCUGCCCUUGACUUUGGGAUAACUUCAGGAAACUGGGGCUAAUACCGGAUAGGAGCUCCUGCCUGCAUGGUGGGGGUUGGAAAGUUUCGGCGGUUGGGGAUGGACUCGCGGCUUAUCAGCUUGUUGGUGGGGUAGUGGCUUACCAAGGCUUUGACGGGUAGCCGGCCUGAGAGGGUGACCGGCCACAUUGGGACUGAGCUACGGCCCAGACUCCUACGGAGGCAGCAGUGGGGAAUAUUGCACCAAUGGGUGGAAGCCUGAUGCAGCAACGCCCGUGUGCGGGAUGACGGCCU
rnacentral:rRNA from 1 species